GGGGGUGUACUGGCUUCGACCUGGGCGGAUAUCGCUCGGGGGAAGCGGGCCGAGGUCCCCGGAUGCCUCGUUAAAAGCCGGGAGAAAUACAAGCGCCAAUACUGAAUACGCGCUCGCUGCCUAAGUAGUUAGGUAGCCGUCCGCCUCGAUCCGCCUGCGGUCGAGGGCCGGGCGUCGUGAGCAGGCUCACGGAGGCGGCUCCGUCCGGGGGCCGCCGUCGGACACCGCACCCGGACUGGCCGAGAGGUCCUCCGCCGGUGGGAGCCUCGAGGCGAGAUUCACCACCGGCUGCGCCCGGAGAAGACCCGAACGAUCGCCGAGGGACAGGGGUUCGAUUCCCCUCACCUCCAA
rnacentral:tmRNA from 1 species